GAAGAAAUGGCUCAGUGGUUAAGAGCACUGACUGCUCUUCCAGAGGUCCUGAGUUCAAUUCCCAGCAACCACA
rnacentral:tRNA from 1 species